rnacentral:rRNA from 1 species
UACGUAGGGGGCAAGCGUUGUCCGGAUUUAUUGGGCGUAAAGAGCGUGUAGGCGGCUUGGUAGGUCCGCUGUGAAAACUCGAGGCUCAACCUCGAGAUGUCGGCGGAAACCACUUGGCUAGAGUCCGGAAGAGGAGAGUGGAAUUCCCGGUGUAGCGGUGAAAUGCGCAGAUAUCGGGAAGAACACCUAUGGCGAAGGCAGCUCUCUGGGACGGUACUGACGCUGAGACGCGAAAGCCAGGGGAGCAAACGGG